CCCAUCGCCAUAAUACAUGCAGCGUCUAGCGAACAUAGGCCGGCCAUCAAAAAUAAAAUUGCAAAAGCCCAGCACGAUAACAUUGAAAGAUACAACCCGAAUAGGCGGGGUAUUUGAAGUAGCGAAAAGGAUUGUUCUUGCGAUCCUAUUAGUAUUAGGGACAGUACAUGGUCAGAUUAUCUACUACUCCCACUCCAACUAUAUCCCGGUAAUUGACCGAAAGGUACUGAUAUGAUUGACACCCUGUCGAAACUCCCAUAGUUAGCUUUACAAAGCGUAUAACACAAGUCGAUGACGGAAUUAUUUUUAUCAUCGAGAGCACUGCGAAAGUUAGCACAGACGAUUGUUCGGAGAUUACUACAAACGGGACACAACUCGUCAUCUUUCUCUCUUCUACCACAAUCAACGGCACCAAAUAUGUAAAUCGGCGUAAAAUCGGCGCAGAUCACCAGGAGUAGCUGGGUCGCCUCUACUUAACAUCAUCAGCCACGAUCCAAUGCUAAGCACGCCCCAACUCCAGAGGAUGAACAAUACAAUCUGCUCAUUCAUUCACCAUUGAAAUUUUCAAGGACGAGUUGGAGGCCGCCGGAUCACACAAGGUUUAUUUGGCUUUAUCAUCGUUUGCAAAUCAUAUAAAGAAGACAAACAUCGAAGGAAAUUCGGAAGGCCAUUAUCAACUACAAAAUAACCGAAGACGGUCAUGAGCUUGAGUGACACCGCUUACGCGAUUAUAGCCGAGUUAACAACAGCGCG